GCAAAGAACUGUUAUGGAGAAGAGAGAGAGAAGAAUGAAAAAAACUUAUGUCAGGAACAAAGAAAUGAAGCUUGCUGGUGUUUGAGACUCUGAUUAAGGUUUAUUUCAGCAACAUCCUCGUACUGUUACAUAAAGAUCAUCCUUGCAUCUUUAUAAUAAAUACCCAUGUUUUUGACUAACACCUCCAACUGGUUUCUGUUGCUUGUAACCAGAAGAAUUCUAAUGAAUAGUUAAGAGUCAUUUGCUUUUUGAUUUCCACUGCAUCUACUUCAUAACAGCCUGUUUCCUAGUAGAUGCUCAAUAAAUAUUUGCAAAAUUGGACUGAAGAUGGCAUUCAUUCCUCCUUGCAGGUGCUCGCCCAGCCUCUGUUUGGUACUUGCAGUGCUUCCAGCUCAUCACCUCCCAAGACGCCCCAUUAUGAGAAGCUCUGACACCUCCACGACUCCUGAAUCUCGCUUUAUCCUGCGGUAAGACUUUAGGAGGCUGGAAGAAUUGUCUCAAUGCAAUGAUCAGACAGCACAUGCCACCCAGUUCUCUGAUGGCUUUCCCAAGCUCUAGCAUCUCCGGUCUGUGGAAGAUAAUUGAUGUAUUUCACAUGAGGAACAAUCAAACCCUUCAUCCGUAGUCAUCACAGAGUGACCUGGACAUAGCAAGAAGGCUUCAGGCUGUUUGCAAUGUGCAGAGGAGCCUGAGGAAGAGAACUGGUUAGCCUGUGUUCCCCAGAGUGGCUCAAGGGUGACAGAGACAAGCCAGGUCUUCCCUAGAG
rnacentral:lncRNA from 1 species